GAUGAAGAACGUAGCGUAAUGCGAUAAGUAAUGUGAAUUGCAGAAUUCAGUGAAUCAUCGAAUCUUUGAACGCACAUUGCGCCCUCUGGUAUUCCGGGGGGCAUGCCUGUUCGAGCGUCAUUACAACCCUCAAGCUUUGCUUGGUAUUGGACAUUGCCAGUUUCUGGCAGGUCUUAAAAUCAGUGGCGGUGCCAUUUGGCUUCAAGCGUAGUAAUUCUUCUCGCUUUGGAGAUCCAGGUGGUUACUUGCCAAUAACCCCCAAUUUUUUCAGGUUGACCUCGGAUCAGGUAGGGAUACCCGCUGAACUUAAGCAUAUCAAUAAGCGGAGGA
rnacentral:misc_RNA from 1 species